rnacentral:rRNA from 1 species
CCUACGGGAGGCAGCAGUGGGGGAUAUUGCACAAUGGGGGGAACCCUGAUGCAGCGACGCCGCGUGGGUGAAGAAGCGCCUCGGCGCGUAAAGCCCUGUCAGCAGGGAAGAAAAUGACGGUACCUGAAGAAGACGCCCCGGCUAAAUACGUGCCAGCAGCCGCGGUAAUACGUAGGGGGCAAGCGUUAUCCGGAUUUACUGGGUGGAAAGGGGGGGCAGACGGGGAUGCCAGGCAGGAGGGAAAGGCCGGGGGCCAACCCCGGGACCGCGCUGGGAACUGCGUGGCUGGAGUGCAGGAGGGGCAGGCGGAAUUCCAGGUGUAGCGGUGAAAUGCGUAGAUAUCAGGAGGAACACCGGUGGCGAAGGCGGCCUGCUGGACUGCAACUGACGCUGAGGCCCGAAAGCGUGGGGAGCGAACAGGAUUAGAUACCCGUGUAGUC